GUCCGACGAGAAAUUUGUGGUCCAUAUGACAGUAAUAACAAUACCUGGUUUGUAGAGAUGUACAUCGUUACGGACCAAAGACUGUACAUUACCUACAGUCAACAGUAUAGCGUGGUCAUUCAAAGAGCUGAAGACAUUGUGAAUAUUGUUAGCAAGGUGAUGCCAUGGAUGAUGAGGACAGAAAGAAGAUCCUAGGCAAGCCUAUUAAAUACAAGAGCCAAACUAUAAAACAUCACAAACUUAAUCUUAGGAAAAAAAAUGACCCUAUAUAUAAUUUUUCAACAAGAGCCAGAGA